AACAUUAAUGAGAGGAAAGAAUACCCCUUGGAUUUUUUUUUAAAAGUUAAAAACAGAAGAGUCCUCGGGGGACAAGCCACAAUCAACGUGUAUUGUCAAACGUGGAGGCUUUCGUUUUUCAAGGAGGUAAGAUUAAUUUAAUUAAGAACAUAAAAGCAGAAAGAAAAAGAAGAAAGCCUGAAGCAAAGGGGGUUACUGUACGCAAGGAUUAAACUUAAAAACGACACGCUUCCUUUCUCUACCCACCAAUUCUUUUCUUAUUUCAGCAAGUUUCUUUCUCUGGUCGACGUAUCUUAACCGUCUGUUUUUUGUUUGUUGUUCAAUUGAGGAUAUGUAGAUUGUUCCGUUUGAUCCUCUGUCCUUGGAUCAUGUAUGGGUGUUUUUGACAUGUACUUAUUUCAUUCAUAAUAAAGUACUUUCCAUUAUUAGUGCUUUAUUUUUCAAUCCAAACCUCGGUUUUUUACCUGGAUCAAUUUGAAUCUAGGUACCUGCAUUCUUCAUAAUCUGAAAGAAGUACCAAAAUCUAGUGUUUCAGAUUGCUAAAGUUAAAUUUUUGUAUGGAAUUCGUUUAUUGAGUGGAAAGAGCUAUGGGGAGUUUGGAUGCAAAUGAAGAUGGUUUGUUAGAUCUUUGAAUUGGUGUGUGGAUUCUGGAAAGCUUUGCAUCCUAGACAUUGAGGGUUGAAGAAUAAAGCUAUGCACUAUCUAGAGAGAGUUAAGCUGCUACUACCAGCCGAGGAGGCUGCUGAUAGACUUGCAGUUAUUAUUAAGAAUUGAAGCUGCAAAGCGGGGGAAAGAGAAAGAAAGCCUUACCUGGAGCUGCUACUUAAAGACGAAGACGAUGGUGAUGGAGGGCUGGCUAACCAAUGUUACUUUCUUAAAAGAUGCUGGAUACAGACGUGACAUCUUCCCUUCAUACUCAACUCAACUGGAGUAUUUAUUUUUAUAUAAUCCUCCAUCUUGAACUUCUUGAAAAUCUCCAUUCCUAACUUAUCUUGGCUUAUAAAAAAUUUAUCCUCUUCUUGUUUCAUCUUAAUCCCCAAGUAGUAUUUGUUAUGGAAAAGAAAGGAGACAUUCCUUACCCAAUUCAUGUCAUUGUUAACUAUUGUAUAACAAAAUUAUUAAAUAUUGUAUA